AACGAACGCUGGCGGCAUGCCUAACACAUGCAAGUCGAACGAGACCUUCGGUUCUAGUGGCGCACGGGUGCGUAACGCGUGGGAACCUGCCCUUAGGUUCGGAAUAACUCCCCGAAAGGGGUGCUAAUACCGGAUAAUGUCUUCGGACCAAAGAUUUAUCGCCUUUGGAUGGGCCCGCGUUGGAUUAGCUAGUUGGUAGGGUAAAAGCCUACCAAGGCGACGAUCCAUAGCUGGUCUGAGAGGAUGAUCAGCCACACUGGGACUGAGACACGGCCCAGACUCCUACGGGAGGCAGCAGUGGGGAAUAUUGGACAAUGGGCGAAAGCCUGAUCCAGCAAUGCCGCGUGUGUGAUGAAGGCCUUAGGGUUGUAAAGCUCUUUUACCCGGGAUGAUAAUGACAGUACCGGGAGAAUAAGCUCCGGCUAACUCCGUG
rnacentral:rRNA from 1 species